UUAGGAGCAGGAGAGGAAUGAUAGUGGGUCUGUCACAUUCCUCUUACUAAGGCAGGGAGUAAGGGUUACCACAGGGAUAGCCUCAGGUGUACGGGCAGCAGGCCUGGGAUGGAGCCCACAGAAGGCACAGGGGAGGAAGAGCCACAUGGAAAGGAACAUGGCCAGAAGAGAGAUAAAGUUUGCCACUGUAGGACUCAGCCUUGCUCAAGAAAUAGGCUGAUGAGAGGUACAAGCCAGAAGACGACUCACUUGGUCCUGCUGCUUUAUCUCUUGAGUCAGUAAGCUGCUGCUGUCAGUAACACUGAGUGUCUUUAUCUUUUGAGGUCCAUCCAUCCACAGCCUGUCUCCACCUGUUUCUGAGCUCAUCCAUAGCAGCAAAGAACACAGCUACCUCUUAAUCUCUGCUACGCUGUCAUGUCUAGACAUUGAUUUCAGCUGUGGGAAGUGAAUUGUUUCUCUGCUCCAGGGAAUGGACUUUCUACAAGCAACUGCUAAAGUAUGAAUGAUACAAGCAAUUCCUCCCAUCGCUCCUGUUCUACAAUUUAAAGCCAACAGUGCUUGUAUAAGAAGAGCUGUUUGACCCAACACAUUCAGGUCUAUAGGAAUGCAUAUUCUUAAAGAGGUCAGCACUUCAAAAACACUGGAAUUGCUGAAAUUUUCCUGAAUGAAAGUGCUUCCUGAAAUCUACAUCAAUUCAGUUGUGAAGAACUUAAUACGACCUUUUUUUCUGGGUUACCAGCUACAAAGCAGCAGGCAAAGCAACCCUCUAGCUCUCAUUCAGCUUGAGAGAUUGAAUACCACAUCUUGUUUUCCCAUGACUCAGAACCAGGAAGAGUUUGAGCUUUUCACUGUGCUCUUGCAAAGGAGUGACAAUUUUGUAUCGUUUUCCAGGCAUUUAUUUUCCUCAAGUUCUAUUAAAAACUCAGCUAUGUACAUGAAAUUUUUUCAUUAGAUGGACAACAUCAGAACUCUAUUUGGGUUAUAUCCCAAGUAUUUCAUUCUAAGUUUAGAAAUAAAAUCUGAAGAAUCGAUAUUUCAUUGCAAAUAUUCAUUCCUUACGUUUGAAAAGCAAAACUUAAAAGCUUCUGAUGUCAAACUGAAACAUUUGUUAUGGGACUACACUUUCCACAGCCAAAGGAUACGCUAAGAAAUUCUGACUCUAAGACCUCUGUUAUUUAAAAUUAUAUUAGACAAAUAAAAAAAUGCCCU